UACGUAGGGGGCAAGCGUUGUCCGGAUUUACUGGGCGUAAAGAGCGCGUAGGCGGGAGAGCAAGUCCGGUGUGAAAGCCCCCGGCUCAACCGGGGAAGGUCGCUGGAAACUGCUCUUCUUGAGGUGGACAGAGGGAAGUGGAAUUCCUGGUGUAGCGGUGAAAUGCGUAGAUAUCAGGAGGAACACCCAUGGCGAAGGCAGCUUCCUGGGUCCAAUCUGACGCUGUAGAGCGAAAGCGUGGGGAGCGAACAGG
rnacentral:rRNA from 1 species